UACAGGGGUCUCAAGCGUUGUUCGGAUUCAUUGGGCGUAAAGGGUGCGUAGGCGGCGCGGUAAGUCGGGUGUGAAAUCUCGGAGCUUAACUCCGAAACUGCAUUCGAUACUGCCGUGCUUGAGGACUGGAGAGGAGACUGGAAUUUACGGUGUGGCGGUGAAAUGCGUAGAUAUCGUAAGGAAGACCAGUGGCGAAGGCGGGUCUCUGGACAGUUCCUGACGCUGAGGCACGAAGGUCAGGGGAGCAAACGGG
rnacentral:rRNA from 1 species